CGUAGGGCGCAAGCGUUGUCCGGAAUUAUUGGGCGUAAAGAGCUCGUAGGCGGCUUGUCACGUCGGAUGUGAAAGCCCGGGGCUUAACCCCGGGUCUGCAUUCGAUACGGGCUAGCUAGAGUGUGGUAGGGGAGAUCGGAAUUCCUGGUGUAGCGGUGAAAUGCGCAGAUAUCAGGAGGAACACCGGUGGCGAAGGCGGAUCUCUGGGCCAUUACUGACGCUGAGGAGCGAAAGCGUAGGGAGCGAACAGGAUUAGAUACCCUGGUAGUCCACGCCGUAAACGUUGGGAACUAGGUGUUGGCGACAUUACCACGUCGUCGGUGCCGCAGCUAACGCAUUAAGUUCCCCGCUGGGGAUACGGCCGCAAGGCUA
rnacentral:rRNA from 1 species